rnacentral:rRNA from 1 species
UUGGAGGGGCAAGUCUGGUGCCAGCAGCCGCGGUAAUUCCAGCUCCAAUAGCGUAUAUUAAAGUUGUUGCAGUUAAAAAGCUCGUAGUUGAAUUUCGGGAUCAGCAAGUUGGUCGUGCCUCUGGUACGUACUGGCUUUACUGGUUCCUCCUUCUUGAAGAACUGUAAUGUCAUUAAUUUGAUGUUGCAGGGAAACAGGACUGUUACUUUGAAAAAAUUAGAGUGUUUAAAGCAAGCUAACGCUUGAAUACAUUAGCAUGGAAUAAUGAAAUAGGACGUUUGAUCCUAUUUUGUUGGUUUCUAGGAUUGACGUAAUGAUUAAUAGGGAUAGUUGGGGGCAUUAGUAUUCAAUUGUCAGAGGUGAAAUUCUUGGAUUUAUUGAAGACUAACUACUGCGAAAGCAUUUGCCAAGGAUGUUUUCAUUAAUCAAGAACGAAAGUUAGGGGAUCGAAGACGAUCAGAUACCGUCGUAGUCUUAACCAUAAACUAUGCCGACUAGGGAUCGGAUGAUGUUAAUUUUUUAAUGACUCAUUCGGCGCCUUACGGGAAAC